GUAUGCGAAAUAUUUAGAAUGUCAAGUAUUGGGAUUUGUGAAUUACAAAAAUCUGUAGUAUUGUCACGCCUGUCAUAAUUGUACAGUUUUGAGUUAUUAACUAAUUUUUAGAUUUAAAAUUUUCUUUCGAUGGUCAUCCAACUCGGGAUAGUCGGACAUGGUGGAAAAUUCGACAAAGCCGGUGAGCAAGUCAACCAUGUAGGCGACGUAAAUGUCAGCACACGUGACCCCCUCGCCAACCAAGAAGCCUGUCCCGUUUCUUUUCAGGAUCCCAUUAAACUUUGGCCAGGCCUUGGGGAACGUAUUUUCGACCACGUUUUUCUUGAUGGCAGCUUUUUUUGCGGGAUCAGAUUCGCGAAACAUUUGCAAUACGUCUGGAAGAAAAAAUUUUACAGAUUCGGAAACCAGGGUUUCCAAACCGGUUAGGUUUUCGAUUUACAUGAAAAUCGGUUUUAAAUAUUAACAAAAAAGGCACUUAGACCCUGUUACCAGAGUAUUUUGUAUAAAAAACGGUCUAUCACACUCAAAAAUCGGGUUUCGAUUGUUUCGGGAUCACUAAAUAUUUACAGUAUCUUGUUUUUCAUAUAAUAUUUACAAAAUCUGGAAUAAAACCCGUUUCGAAAACUGGGUUUCGGGAAAACUGAAAACCGGUUUUAUGAAAAUUUUAAAAUCCGAAAAAAUCAAAACCGGUUUUUCAUAAUUUUUUGGAUUUGACUGCCCUACUUUCAACACGAACCUAAACGAACUUCAUCCAUGGCGUCGAUGUACUCGUUGCACUUGGCGGUUUCGAACUCGUCCGCCCCCACGAGUCCAAACUCUCGCGCCAAAUAGCGGAAAAUGGUCAAGCACUGCGAAAGUUGGUGCUUCCCAUCCACCACCAAAACGGGCAACAGGUUCCAAGGCAUUUCUGAAAUUGAUUGUGAAAUUUGUGAAAAUAGUGGCUGUUCAGUUUUGGCAAACUUCUUAAAAAUCGUUAAUUCAGUCGGAACCACAAAAAACGCGUAAUCGUUGCAAAUGGUUGAAAAUUUUGAAAAGUUGAAAACAAAACUGAUAAGCUUUUAGUUUUAAUUCGUAUGUUUUUAUUGUUUUUAUUUCUCAAAUUCUAAAUUGUAAUUAAGUUCAAACACAUUUACUUGCCAAAAGUAAAAGAAGGUCGUGAAACAUGAAA